rnacentral:rRNA from 1 species
AAAACGACUCUCGACAACGGAUAUCUCGGCUCUCGCAUCAAUGAAAAACGUAGCAAAAUGCGAUACUUGGUGUGAAUUGCAAAAUCCCGUGAACCAUCGANUCUUUGAACGCAAGUUGCGCCCGAAGCCAUUAGGCCGAGGGCACGUCUGCCUGGGCGUCACGC